rnacentral:rRNA from 1 species
UGCAGAGGUGGCAAGCGUUGUUCGGAAUUACUGGGCGUAAAGGGCGCGUAGGCAGCCUUCUAAGUCAGACGUGAAAUCCCUCGGCUUAACCGGGGAACUGCGUCUGAUACUGGAUGGCUUGAGUGUGGGAGAGGGAUGCGGAAUUCCAGGUGUAGCGGUGAAAUGCGUAGAUAUCUGGAGGAACACCGGUGGCGAAGGCGGCAUCCUGGACCAUUACUGACACUGAAAAGCGAAAGCCAGGGGAGCAAACGGG